rnacentral:rRNA from 1 species
UAAAAAACUAUCACGGAGAGUUUGAUUCUGGCUCAGGAUGAACGCUGGCGGUAUGCUUAACACAUGCAAGUUGAACGAAGAUAAUAAUUCAUUGAAUUAUAAUACUUAGUAGCGGACGGGUGAGUAACGCGUAAGAAUCUACCUUUAGGAAAAGGAUAACAACUGGAAACGGUUGCUAAUACUUUAUAUGCUGAGAAGUUAAAUAGGUUACUGCCUAAAGAUGAGCUUGCGUCUGAUUAGCUAGUUGGUAAGGUAAAGGCUUACCAAGGCGAUUAUCAGUAGUUGGUCUGAGAGGAUGAUCAGCCACACUGGGACUGAGACACGGCCCAGACUCCUACGGGAGGCAGCAGUGAGGAAUUUUUCGCAAUGGGCGCAAGCCUGACGAAGCAAUACCGCGUGAAGGAUGAAGGCCUGCGGGUUGUAAACUUCUUUUAUUAGAGAAGAUAAUGACAGUAUCUAAUGAAUAAGCAUCGGCUAAACAUUUGGCCCUCAAUUCUGUGAAGAAUUGCGACUAAACUUGGCUCAUAACGAUGAAACCCAAACGAGUAAAGUCGUGGGCAAUAUCGUGGGAAGAUUUAUUUACUAAAAAAAAAUGACUAUAGAAGUUAAAUUAACAAAAGAGGAAGAAGCAAUUCUUUUAGGUAAUUUAUUAGGUGAUGGCCAUAUUCAGAAAAGAAAUAAUUCUUAUCGAACAAAAAUUCAGCAUUGUAUAAAACAAGAAGAUUAUGUUCGGUGGAAAUAUAUAAAAUUAAAACGAUUAUGUUUUGAUUACACUUUUCCAAAGAAAACAAAACAAAAUUCAAUUAAUUAUUAUUUUUUUUUAAAAUCUGGUCUUUAUUUAAAAAAAUAUCACGAUUUAUUUUAUCAAGAAUAUAGUUGGAAAUCGUCAAAUAAAGAAGAACUAACUAAAAAUAAUAAAGUUAAGAUACGCUAUAAAAAAACCAUUACAAAAGAAUUAAUUGAUUUUUUACCUAAAGAUCCUCUAAUACUAGCAGUUUGGUUUAUGGAUGACGGUCAUUGUAGGACUGAUUCUUUUAGUGGUAAAUUAGGAACUUAUGCUUUUUCAAAAGAUGAGCAACUUAUUUUACAAGAUUAUCUUUAUUCUAUGUUUAAUAUAAAAACAAAUAUAGUAUUAGCUUCAAGAUUAAAAAAUCAAUACUAUUUAUCGAUUUCAGGAAAAAAUAAAAAUUUUGAAAACUUUGUUGAUUUAAUAAAACCUUUUAUUGAUGAAGUUCCAUCAAUGAGUUAUAAAAUAAAAAAUCCAAAGGUAUAAAAUAAAUAAAUCCCCGUAACGACUGAGGAAAUAAUAGAAAAUAUUCUAUUUGAGUACGAGAUAAAUUUUUGAAGUUAUUUAAUAUUAAGAUAAUGAUAAAUUAAAAAUUAAUUUUUAAGAUAGAUAAAAAUUUAUAAUACGCCGAGCGCUUAUGUUUAACAUAAGAUGAUGGUAUAGUCUAUACUUAUAGAAAUAUAAGAUCAAUUGAAAUAUGUGCCAGCAGCCGCGGUAGCUGGUUAAUUGCCGCCUUAAAGAGUAAUCUUUAUGUUAAAAUCCGGCUCAUAACGGUGAAGUCUAAAGAUUUAAUAAUCCAUGAUAAUACCGUGGGAAGUUUUGAAAUUGUAGAAACCAAUUUUUUUUAUCUAUUAUAUUUAUAUUAUAAUUGAAAGACCUUUUCAAUAACCCCGUAACGACUGAUUCGAAAGAAGAGAGUUUAAAUUUAAUAUUAUUUAAGCUAACACGCCGGCCUCGCAUGGUUUCCACAAGUUAAAUACUAAUAAGUUUUAUUAAAUAUAAAACUUAUGGUUGGUUAAUUGACCUAACACUUAGUUGGUGAGAUGAAGGUAUAGUCUGAGCCUAAAGAAAUUUAGGAAUUUUUGAAUACAUAUGAUGCAAGCGUUAUCCGGAAUGAUUGGGCGUAAAGCGUCUGUAGGUUGUUUAAAAAGUCAAUUGUCAAAAACUAAAGCUCAACUUUAGGUAGGCAGUUGAAACUUUUAGACUAGAGUAUGGCAGAGGUAGAGGGAAUUACUGGUGUAACGGUGAAAUGUGCAGAUAUCAGUAAGAACACCAACGGCGAAAGCACUCUACUGGACCAAAACUGACACUCAGAGACGAAAGCUAGGGGAGCGAAUAGGAUUAGAUACCCUAGUAGUCCUAGCUGUAAACGAUGGAAACUAAAUAUUGCGUUUUUUUAAUGCAGUAUUGUAGCUAACGCGUUAAGUUUCCCGCCUGGGGAGUAUGCUCGCAAGAGUGAAACUCAAAGAAAUUGACGGGGGCCCGCACAAGCGGUGGAGCAUGUGGUUUAAUUCGAUGCAACGCGAAGAACCUUACCGGGGUUUGACAUACUAUGAAUUUUUUGGAGACGAAAAAGUUUAAACAUAGAUACAGGUGGUGCAUGGCUGUCGUCAGCUCGUGUCGUGAGACGUAGGGUUAAGUCCUGUAACGAGCGCAACCCUUAUUGUUAGUUGCUUUAAGGAAACUAGCAAGACUGCCAGUGAUAAGCUGGAGGAAGGUGAGGAUGACGUCAAGUCAGCAUGCCCCUUAAAUCCCGGGCUACACACGUGCUACAAUGGUUAAGACAAAGAGAUGCUAACUUGCGAAAGUACAGCCAACCUCAAAAACUUAAUCUCAGUUCGGAUUGUAGGCUGCAACUCGCCUACAUGAAGCCGGAAUCGCUAGUAAUCGCAGGUCAGCUAUACUGCGGUGAAUACGUUCCCGGGCCUUGUACACACCGCCCGUCACACCAUCGGAGCUGACUAGGCCCGAAGCCGUUGUAAACGUCUAAGGCACAGUUAGUGACGAGGGUGAAGUCGUAACAAGGUAGGGCUACUGGAAGGUGGCCCUGGAUCACCUCCUUC